rnacentral:rRNA from 1 species
GUCCACGCCGUAAACGUUGGGCGCUAGGUGUGGGGGUCCUUCCACGACCUCCGUGCCGCAGCUAACGCAUUAAGCGCCCCGCCUGGGGAGUACGGCCGCAAGGCUAAAACUCAAAGGAAUUGACGGGGGCCCGCACAAGCGGCGGAGCAUGCGGAUUAAUUCGAUGCAACGCGAAGAACCUUACCAAGGCUUGACAUGCACGGGUAAGUUCCAGAGAUGGUUCCCCCGCAAGGUCCGUGCACAGGUGGUGCAUGGUUGUCGU